AUUGAACGCUGGCGGCAUGCUUUACACAUGCAAGUCGAACGGUAACAGGCCGCAAGGUGCUGACGAGUGGCGCACGGGUGAGUAAUGCAUCGGAACGUGCCCAGUCGUGGGGGAUAACUACUCGAAAGAGUAGCUAAUACCGCAUACGAUCUAUGGAUGAAAGCGGGGGACCGUAAGGCCUCGCGCGAUUGGAGCGUCCGAUGUCAGAUUAGGUAGUUGGUGGGGUAAAGGCUCACCAAGCCAACGAUCUGUAGCUGGUCUGAGAGGACGACCAGCCACACUGGGACUGAGACACGGCCCAGACUCCUACGGGAGGCAGCAGUGGGGAAUUUUGGACAAUGGGCGCAAGCCUGAUCCAGCAAUGCCGCGUGCAGGAAGAAGGCCUUCGGGUUGUAAACUGCUUUUGUACGGAACGAAACGGCUCUGGUUAAUACCCGGGGCUAAUGACGGUACCGUAAGAAUAAGCACCGGCUAACUACGUG
rnacentral:rRNA from 1 species